GUGAGGAAUAUUGGACAAUGGGCGCAAGCCUGAUCCAGCCAUGCCGCGUGCAGGAAGACGCAUCUAUGGUGUGUAAACUGCUUUUGUACGGGAAGAAACACUCCCUCGUGAGGGAGCUUGACGGUACCGUAAGAAUAAGGAUCGGCUAACUCCGUGCCAUCAGCCGCGGUAAUACGGAGGAUCCAAGCGUUAUCCGGAAUCAUUGGGUUUAAAGGGUCCGUAGGCGGUUUAAUAAGUCAGUGGUGAAAGCCCAUCGCUCAACGAUGGAACGGCCAUUGAUACUGUUAGACUUGAAUUACAAGGAAGUAACUAGAAUAUGUAGUGUAGCGGUGAAAUGCUUAGAUAUUACAUGGAAUACCAAUUGCGAAGGCAGGUUACUACUUGUGGAUUGACGCUGAUGGACGAAAGCGUGGGGAGCGAACAGGAUUAGAAACCCCGGUAGUCC
rnacentral:rRNA from 1 species